rnacentral:rRNA from 1 species
GACGAACGCUGGCGGCGCGCCUAACACAUGCAGGUCGAACGAGCGAGAGAGAGCUUGCUUUCUCGAGCGAGUGGCGAACGGGUGAGUAACGCGUGAGGAACCUGCCUCAAAGAGGGGGACAACAGUUGGAAACGACUGCUAAUACCGCAUAAGCCCACGGUGCCGCCUGGCACAGAGGGAAAAGGAGCAAUCCGCUUUGAGAUGGCCUCGCGUCCGAUUAGCUAGUUGGUGAGGUAAUGGCCCACCAAGGCGACGAUCGGUAGCCGGACUGAGAGGUUGAACGGCCACAUUGGGACUGAGACACGGCCCAGACUCCUACGGGAGGCAGCAGUGGGGAAUAUUGCACAAUGGGGGAAACCCUGAUGCAGCGACGCCGCGUGGAGGAAGAAGGUCUUCGGAUUGUAAACUCCUGUUGUUGGGGAAGAUAAUGACGGUACCCAACAAGGAAGUGACGGCUAACUACGUA